rnacentral:lncRNA from 1 species
AAACUCUGCAACAGCAGGCUCAGACAGCUACAAGGUUUCCUCAUUAAUCUUCUGUUUUUCCUCGGGUGAGUCCAGCUCUGUUCCCAUUCAGCCUCAGGGCUGGGACUCUGGAAAAUAUCUUCUGAAUCUUCAACAGGUAUUCCUC